GGUUGCCUGGUAUAGUGGUUUGAACGUUGGGCUAUGAUUAUGUAGAUCAGGGUUCAAAUCCCAGUUCAGCCA